GACGAACGCUGGCGGCGUGCUUAACACAUGCAAGUCGAACGAAGUGGCGAACGGGUGAGUAACGCGUAAUCAACCUGCCCUUCAGAGGGGGACAACAGUUGGAAACGACUGCUAAUACCGCAUACUGAAGGAGGGGAUUGCGUCUGAUUAGCUAGUUGGAGGGGUAACGGCCCACAAAGGCGAUGAUCAGUAGCCGGUCUGAUAUGAUUGACGGCCAAAUUGGGACUUAGACACGGGCCAGACUCCUACGGGAGGCAGCAGUGGGGAAUCUUCCGCCAUGGACGAAAGUCUGACGGAGCAACGCCGCGUGAGUGAUGACGGCCUUCGGGUUGUAAAGCUCUGUUAAUCGGGACGCGGUACCGGAAUAGAAAGCCACGGCUAACUACGUGCCAACAGCCGCGGUAAUAC
rnacentral:rRNA from 1 species